AGGGUUUGAUUAUGGCUCAGGACGAACGCUGGCGGCGUGCCUAAUACAUGCAAGUCGAACGAACGGAGCUAGGAACUUGUUCCCGGCAAAGUUAGUGGCGCACGGGUGAGUAACACGUGGAGAACCUACCCUUUUGCGGGGGAUAACCAUUGGAAACGAUGACUAAUACCGCAUAGAAUCGCAGAUCGCAUGAUCAACGAAGGAAAGACGGCUUCGGCUGUCGCAAAAGGAUGGCUCCGCGGUGCAUUAGCUAGAUGGUGGGGUAACGGCCUACCAUGGCAAUGAUGCAUAGCCGACCUGAGAGGGUGAUCGGCCACAUUGGGACUGAGACACGGCCCAA
rnacentral:rRNA from 1 species